CAGCGCUGUCUACCACGGCGGCUGCUGUCGUACCGGCCGCGAUUGUAACCCCACCUCCUGCCCCCCAAUUUCCUCGACCACAAUCGUGGAUGACAACGGCGCCACGAUUGUUAUAGGAAUCGAUCCUACUGUGUCUCUGUCCUCUCCUGGUGGGGAAGGCCGGAGGUGUGCUGCCGGUUGGACGGGUUGUGCGGCUAGUGCGGGCGGCGGUUGUUGUCCGGAUGGGUUUGCUUGCGCGGAGAUCAGUUGUACACUUUCAGCUGGAGGCCGGGGGACGGCAGUGGUGGGGAAGAUGGCGCCAGUGAACGGUGCGGGGAAGGUGGUGGUGGUGGUUGGUGGUUGGGUUAAUUUGACGGUGGUGAUGAUGGUGAUGGCGAUGAUGCAGUGGUUCAUGAGCGGGUAAUUAAAUCUUAAAAAUAACUUUAUUUUUAGCAUUUUGGCAUUUCCAUUGAUGGUUUGAUGGGCGGACCUCUUCUUUGCCAUUUUUGUAUACCAUUAUCAUUUCCCUUCAAUGAUUUUAUGGGAUGGAACAGGCUUACUCUAUUUGUAGCAUCAUUGAGCGGACUAGCUGUCUCUAAAUACCUUUCAACCCGGGUCCUCCAGUAUGUAUGUAUUUUUGAUCAUCUUUUUGAGGUUGAUAUCGUUUCUACGAACUGGAGAAUCGGAGUUAAAUUGAAUCCAUGU
rnacentral:sRNA from 2 species